CCUACGGGGGGCUGCAGUAACGGAUAUUGGGCAAUGGGCGAAAGCCUGACCCAGCGACGCCGCGUGCGGGAGGAAGUCCUUCGGGAUGUAAACCGCUGUCAGGGACGUGAAAGUCCACUUCGGUGGAUUGAUCUAACCCAGAGGAAGUCACGGCUAACUCUGUGCCAGCAGCCGCGGUAAGACAGAGGUGGCUAGCGUUGUUCGGAAUCACUGGGCUUAAAGCGUGUGUAGGCGGAAACGUAAGCAUUUUGUGAAAUCCCUCGGCUUAACCGAGGCAUUGCUUGAUGAACUGCGUUUCUUGAGGCAGGUAGGGGUGCGAGGAACUCUUGGUGGAGCGGUGGAAUGCGUAGAUAUCAAGAGGAACGCCGGUGGUGAAGACGUUGCACUGGGCCUGUCCUGACGCUGAGACACGAAAGCGUGGGGAGCGAACGGGCUUAGAUACCCCUGUAGUC
rnacentral:rRNA from 1 species